ACUUUACCAUGCGGGCAACCGUGAUAAGGAAACCCCGAGUGCCAGCACAGGCUGGCUGUCCACCAGUGUAAAUAACUGGUGAAGAAAGGGCCGGGCAAGGCCGGUGCCAGCCGCCGCGGUAAUACCGGCGGCUCGAGUGGUGGCCGCUAUUACUGGGCUUAAAGGGUCCGUAGCUGGAUAUACAAGUCCCUUGAGAAAUCCGCCGGCUUAACCGGUGGGCGUUCAGGGGAAACUGUAUUUCUAGGGACCGGGAGAGGUGAGAGGUACUGCCGGGGUAGGAGUGAAAUCCUGUAAUCCCGGUGGGACCACCUAUGGCGAAGGCAUCUCACCAGAACGGGUCCGACAGUGAGGGACGAAAGCUGGGGGAGCAAACCGG
rnacentral:rRNA from 1 species